rnacentral:lncRNA from 1 species
CUUGUAUGAGGUGGGGAAGGAGGCAUUCCAGACUUGCUUAUGAAACGAUCUGAAUAAUAAACACACCUAAAAUGUCAGAGCAAGUAAACAGCUCUGUAGCCGAGGCCAUCCGGCACCGGGCCCAAAAUAAGUUUACUGUCUUCAACCUGUCUUCCCAUGUUUUUCCUCCCUGGGGAUCUGUGUUUGCAGCCCAGUCAAGGGUGCAGGCCCCCACACAGGGUAAGUGAUCUACAGACCCUUAUUGGAAAUGAAUGACUGAAUGAACCAGCCAGUAAUCCAGAAGAUAAAUGUGUGCUUACUGGUUGUAGAUGCUUUGUCCUUUCAGAAGAGUGGCUUGAACUAGAUAUAGAAGAGAGAAAACCAGCCUUGUGAAAUGUCACUGAGGCCCUUGUAAACCUUUCGACUUGAUACAAAUGUCUGAUCCAGUGAUUUUUAAAU